rfam:Kockovaella imperatae strain NRRL Y-17943 BD324scaffold_1, whole genome shotgun sequence.
GGGCUAAUUGUGCAGGUGGUAGUGCGCUUCAUUUGCAUUUCCGGAUUGCAACGUUGAAGAGGUCCUUGGUUCGAGUCCGAGUUAGUCCA